rnacentral:rRNA from 1 species
CUACGGGCCGCAGCAGUGGGGAAUAUUGGACAAUGGGCGCAAGCCUGAUCCAGCAAUGCCGCGUGAGUGAAGACGGCCUUAGGGUUGUAAAACUCUUUCGCUAGGGAAGAUAAUGACUGUACCUAGUAAAGAAGUCCCGGCUAACUCCGUGCCAGCAGCCGCGGUAAUACGGAGGGGACUAGCGUUGUUCGGAAUUACUGGGCGUAAAGAGUUCGUAGGCGGACUGACAAGUUAGAGGUGAAAUCCCAGGGCUCAACCCUGGAACUGCCUUUAAAACUGUCAGUCUAGAGACCGGGAGGGUUAGGGGAAUACCUAGUGUAGAGGUGAAAUUCGUAGAUAUUAGGUGGAACACCAGUGGCGAAGGCGCCUAACUGGUCCGGUACUGACGCUGAGGAACGAAAGCGUGGGGAGCAAACAGGAUUAGAUACCCGAGUAGUC